GAUGAACGCUGGCGGCGUGCUUAACACAUGCAAGUCGAACGGAAAGGCUCCUGCUUGCAGGGGUACUCGAGUGGCGAACGGGUGAGUAACACGUGGGUGAUCCGCCCUGCACUUCGGGAUAAGCCUGGGAAACUGGGUCUAAUACCGGAUAGGACCACAUUUUGGAUGGUGUGGUGGAAAGUUUUUCGGUGUGGGAUGAGCUCGCGGCCUAUCAGCUUGUUGGUGGGGUAAUGGCCUACCAAGGCGUCGACGGGUAGCCGGCCUGAGAGGGUGUACGGCCACAUUGGGACUGAGAUACGGCCCAGACUCCUACGGGAGGCAGCAGUGGGGAAUAUUGCACAAUGGGCGCAAGCCUGAUGCAGCGACGCCGCGUGGGGGAUGACGGCCUUCGGGUUGUAAACUCCUUUCGCUAGGGACGAAGCGCAAGUGACGGUACCUGGAGAAGAAGCACCGGCUAACUACGUG
rnacentral:rRNA from 1 species